rnacentral:rRNA from 1 species
UCGGGAAUAUUGCGCAAUGGAGGAAACUCUGACGCAGUGACGCCGCGUGCAGGAAGAAGGUUUUCGGAUUGUAAACUGCUUUAGACAGGGAAGAAAAAAGACAGUACCUGUAGAAUAAGCUCCGGCUAACUACGUGCCAGCAGCCGCGGUAAUACGUAGGGAGCAAGCGUUAUCCGGAUUUAUUGGGUGUAAAGGGUGCGUAGACGGGAAAUUAAGUUAGUUGUGAAAUCCCUCGGCUCAACUGAGGAACUGCAACUAAAACUGAUUUUCUUGAGUACUGGAGAGGAAAGUGGAAUUCCAGGUGUAGCGGUGGAAUGCGUAGAUAUCUGGAAGAACACCAAAGGCGAAGGCAGUCUCCUGGGCAAAUACUGACGCUCAUAUGCGAAAGCGUGGGUAGCAAACAGGAUUAGAUACCCUGGUAGU